CAGCCGCCGCGGUAAUACCGGCGGCCCGAGUGGCGGCCACUAUUAUUGGGCCUAAAGCGUCCGUAGCCGGGCUGGUAAGUCCCCCGGGAAAUCUGGCGGCUUAACCGUCAGAAUUCCGGGGGAUACUGCCAGCCUAGGGACCGGGAGAGGCCGGGGGUAUUCCCGGGGUAGGGGUGAAAUCCUGUAAUCCCGGGAGGACCACCUGUGGCGAAGGCGCCCGGCUGGAACGGGUCCGACGGUGAGGGACGAAGGCCAGGGGAGCGAACCGGAUUAGAUCCCCGGGUAGUCCUGGCUGUAAAGGAUGCGGGCUAGGUGUCGGGUGAGCUUCGAGCUCGCCCGGUGCCGUAGGGAAGCCGUUAAGCCCGCCGCCUGGGGAGUACGGCCGCAAGGCUGAAACUUAAAGGAAUUGGCGGG
rnacentral:rRNA from 1 species